GACGAACGCUGGCGGCGUGCUUAACACAUGCAAGUCGAACGCUGAAGCUCAGCUUGCUGGGUGGCUGAGUGGCGAACGGGUGAGUAACACGUGAGUAACCUGCCCUCUUCUUUGGGAUAACGCCCGGAAACGGGUGCUAAUACUGGAUAUUCACUGAUUCUCGCAUGGGGGUUGGUGGAAAGGUUUUUUCUGGUGGGGGAUGGGCUCGCGGCCUAUCAGCUUGUUGGUGGGGUGAUGGCCUACCAAGGCUUUGACGGGUAGCCGGCCUGAGAGGGUGACCGGUCACAUUGGGACUGAGAUACGGCCCAGACUCCUACGGGAGGCAGCAGUGGGGAAUAGUGCACAAUGGGCGAAAGCCUGAUGCAGCGACGCGGCGUGAGGGAUGGAGGCCUUCGGGUUGUAAACCUCUUUCGCUCAUGGCCAAGCCGCAGCAUGGGGUUGUGGUGAGGGUAGUGGGUAAAGAAGCGCCGGCUAACUACGUG
rnacentral:rRNA from 1 species